GGUAAGUUUCAGGGCGAGGCGAAAAUCCUCGACUGGCGGUACAGCCCGCGAGCCGCUCACGCGGUUGAUUUGGUGAGAGUCCAAAGCCAACGGUUAUAGUCCGGAUGAAGAGAAACAGGAG
rnacentral:ncRNA from 2 species